rnacentral:rRNA from 1 species
UUCAGCUACCACUUACAGAUGGACCCGCGGCGCAUUAGCUAGUUGGUGAGGUAACGGCUCACCAAGGCGACGAUGCGUAGCCGACCUGAGAGGGUGAUCGGCCACACUGGGACUGAGACACGGCCCAGACUCCUACGGGAGGCAGCAGUAGGGAAUCUUCCGCAAUGGACGAAAGUCUGACGGAGCAACGCCGCGUGAGUGAUGAAGGUUUUCGGAUCGUAAAACUCUGUUGUUAGGGAAGAACAAGUACCGUUCGAAUAGGGCGGCACCUUGACGGUACCUAACCAGAAAGCCACGGCUAACUACGUGCCGGCAGCCGCGGUAAUACGUAGGUGGCAAGCGUUGUCCGGAAUUAUUGGGCGUAAAGGGCUCGCAGGCGGUUUCUUAAGUCUGAUGUGAAAGCCCCCGGCUCAACCGGGGAGGGUCAUUGGAAACUGGGGAACUUGAGUGCAGAAGAGGAGAGUGGAAUUCCACGUGUAGCGGUGAAAUGCGUAGAGAUGUGGAGGAACACCAGUGGCGAAGGCGACUCUCUGGUCUGUAACUGACGCUGAGGAGCGAAAGCGUGGGGAGCGAACAGGAUUAGAUACCCUGGUAGUCCACGCCGUAAACGAUGAGUGCUAAGUGUUAGGGGGUUUCCGCCCCUUAGUGCUGCAGCUAACGCAUUAAGCACUCCGCCUGGGGAGUACGGUCGCAAGACUGAAACUCAAAGGAAUUGACGGGGGCCCGCACAAGCGGUGGAGCAUGUGGUUUAAUUCGAAGCAACGCGAAGAACCUUACCAGGUCUUGACAUCCUCUGACAAUCCUAGAGAUAGGACGUCCCCUUCGGGGGCAGAGUGACAGGUGGUGCAUGGUUGUCGUCAGCUCGUGUCGUGAGAUGUUGGGUUAAGUCCCGCAACGAGCGCAACCCUUGAUCUUAGUUGCCAGCAUUCAGUUGGGCACUCUAAGGUGACUGCCGGUGACAAACCGGAGGAAGGUGGGGA